rnacentral:rRNA from 1 species
AGAGAGAGACAUGCGCGCAUAUCAAUAAGCGGAGGAAAAGAAACUAACAAGGAUUCCCUUAGUAACGGCGAGUGAAGCGGGAAGAGCUCAAAUUUGAAAUCUUCAAGGGUUCUACCUUUACGAAUUGUAGUUUAUAGAAGUGUUUUCUGUUAGUGGAGUGGCAAAAGUUCUUUGGAAUAGGACAUCAUAGAGGGUGAGAAUCCCGUAUUUGGUCAUUCCUCCUAGCGUUGUGAUACACUUUCAACGAGUCGGAUUGUUUGGGAAUGCAGUCCAAAAUGGGUGGUAAAUUUCAUCUAAAGCUAAAUAUCGGCGAGAGACCGAUAGCGAACAAGUACCGUGAGGGAAAGAUGAAAAGAACUUUGAAAAGAGAGUUAAACAGUACGUGAAAUUGUCAAAGGGAAGCGUUUGACACCAGUGUUGUUUUUCCGAAAAUCAAUUACGAAUGUUUUAUUUUUGAGGAGUUAUGACUUCAUCGGCUUGCUCCUUUCUUUAUGAAACUUUCUUAAUGCACUUUUCGGUUAACAAGUCAACAUCAAUUUCUUUUGUUGUAAAAGGGUAUGAGGAAGGUGGCUUUCUUUUCGGAGAAAGUGUUUAUAGCCUCGUGCCUCUGCAAUCGGAGAGAUUGAGGUCUGCAGCGUAGAUCCUUCGGGGUUAGAUACAUUUGUGCUAAGUUAUAGCUUUUCAUAGACAACUUGUUGACUAUGUUUAGUCUCGUAGCUUACUCGCUUAUGCUAUUUUACCUACGCUUAGGAUGUUGAUAGUCACAGCGUGUAC